UUGCGAUGAUGACAUCUUAGGACACCUUUGGAUUCUCCAUGAAAACAAUAUUUGAUUCUGAGUGAC
rnacentral:snoRNA from 1 species